rnacentral:lncRNA from 1 species
GGGUGUUACAACAAAAACCAUUCAAAUUAAAGACCAAGUCAACCCAAAUUUAGCUACACAUGGUUGUCCAUUUAAACCACUAUUUGGUUUAAUUACACAAGGUCCUUGCAUUGUUGAAGAGAUUAGAGAUUUGCCUGAAGAUUUACAUUUGUCUGAGUCUCAGUCCUGAGUUAUUAUGGCAUUUAAAUUGCUUAAAAAUGAAGCAAAUAUCAG